rnacentral:rRNA from 1 species
CACGUAGGAGGCAAACGUUAUCCGGAUUUACUGGGCGUAAAGCGCAUGUAGGUGGUUCGGUAAGUAGGGCGUGAAAGCUCCUGGCUCAACUGGGAGAGGUCGUUCUAAACUACCGAGCUAGAGGAUGGUAGAGGGAGGUGGAAUUCCGGGUGUAGCGGUGGAAUGCGCAGAUAUCCGGAGGAACACCAGUGGCGAAAGCGGCCUCCUGGACCACUCCUGACACUCAGAUGCGAAAGCUAGGGUAGCAAAC